GAACGAACGCUGGCGGCGCGCUUAAGCAUGCAAGUCGAGCGGCAAGGGCCUUCGGGCCCCUAGAGCGGCGGACGGGUGAGUAACACGUGGACAAUCUGCCCCCCGGCCCGGGAUAGCCCAGGGAAACCUGGAUUAAUACCGGAUGAGACGGGACCUGCGAUGGCGGGAUCCGGGAAAGGCGCUACGGCGCCGCCGGGGGAUGAGUCUGCGUCCCAUUAGCUAGACGGCGGGGUAACGGCCCACCGUGGCGACGAUGGGUAGCCGGCCUGAGAGGGUGGACGGCCACAUUGGAACUGAGACACGGUCCAGACUCCUACGGGAGGCAGCAGCUAAGAAUCUUCCGCAAUGGGCGAAAGCCUGACGGAACGAACCGCCGCGUGAACGAAGAAGGCCGUGAGGUUGUAAAGUUCUUUUCGGGAGGGGGAACAACCGUGGCAGGGAAUGGCCGCGGGAUGACGUGAAUCCCGGAAUAAGCCCCGGCUAACUACGUGCCAGCCGCAGC
rnacentral:rRNA from 1 species